AACGAACGCUGGCGGCAUGCCUAACACAUGCAAGUCGAACGAGACCUUCGGGUCUAGUGGCGCACGGGUGCGUAACGCGUGGGAACCUGCCCUUAGGUUCGGAAUAACUCCCCGAAAGGGGUGCUAAUACCGGUUAAUGUCUUCGGACCAAAGAUUUAUCGCCUUUGGAUGGGCCCGCGUUGGAUUAGCUAGUUGGUAGGGUAAAAGCCUACCAAGGCGACGAUCCAUAGCUGGUCUGAGAGGAGGAUCAGCCACAAUGGGACUGAGACACGGCCCAGACUCGGACGGGAGGCAGCAGUGGGGAAUAUUGGACAAUGGGCGAAAGCCUGAUCCAGCAAUGCCGCGUGAGUGAUGAAGGCCUUAGGGUUGUAAAGCUCUUUUACCCGGGAUGAUAAUGACAGUACCGGGAGAAUAAGCUCCGGCUAACUCCGUG
rnacentral:rRNA from 1 species